GACCGGGCCCGCGGGGCCGGAGCCAGCGGGCUGCUGAGGUGGCUGUCGCCCGCGCGGAGCGGCGGCUUCCCGGGUCGAGCCCCCGAUGGAGGCCGGGGCCGCGGACGGGCCCCCGGGCGGGGUGGAGGAGGCGCUCAGCUGCUUCUCUUUCAACCAGGACUGCACAUCUCUCGCCAUUGGAACCACGUCUGGUUAUAAGCUGUUUUCUUUGAGUUCUGUGGAGCAGCUGGACCACGUCCACGGGAGCAAUGACAUCCCCGACGUCUACAUCGUGGAGCGCCUCUUCUCCAGCAGCCUGGUGGUGGUGGUGAGCCACACGAAGCCGCGCCAGAUGAACGUCUACCACUUCAAGAAGGGCACGGAGAUCUGCAGCUACAGCUACUCCGGCAACAUCCUGUCCAUCAGGCUGAACCGGCAGAGGCUGCUCGUCUGCCUGGAGGAGUCCAUUUACAUCCACAACAUCAAAGACAUGAAGCUUCUGAAGAACAUCCUGGAUAUUCCUGCAAACCCGACAGGUUUAUCUAUUCUGGACGUUGCAUGUCUGUGCGCCCUGUCCAUCAACCAUUCCAAUUCCUACGUGGCCUACCCCGGGAGCCGGACGACAGGCGAGAUCGUGCUCUACGACGGACACUCCCUGAAGACUGUCUGCACCAUUGCCGCCCACGAGGGCCCGCUGGCAGCCAUCGCCUUCAACGCCUCGGGCUCCAGACUGGCCAGUGCCUCCGAGAAAGGCACCGUCAUCCGUGUGUUCUCAGUCCCCGAGGGACAAAAGCUCUAUGAGUUUCGGAGAGGCAUGAAAAGGUACGUGACCAUCAGCUCCCUGGCCUUCAGCAUGGACUCGCAGUUCCUGUGCGCCUCGAGCAACACGGAGACCGUGCACAUCUUCAAGCUGGAGCACCUCGCCAACAGCCGACCAGAGGAGCCCUCGACCUGGACUGGCUACGUAGGAAAGAUGUUCGUGGCCGCGUCCAACUACCUCCCCACCCAGGUGUCCGACAUGAUGAACCAGGACAGGGCCUUUGCCACUGGGCGUCUGGGCUUCUCCGGCCACAGGAACAUCUGCACGCUCUCCACGAUCCAGAAGCUGCCAAGGCUCCUGGUGGCAUCCUCCAGUGGACACCUGUACAUCUACAACGUGGACCCUCAGGACGGAGGAGACUGCGUCUUAAUCAAGACUCACAGCUUGCUCGGCUCAGGAUGCGUGGAGGAGAACAAAGAGAACGACCUCAGACCUCCAUCACCUCAGUCUUACGCCGCAACCGUAGCGCGCGCAAGCCCGUCCGCGGCGUCCACGGUGCCGGGUUACUCGGAGGACGGCGGGGCGCUCCGCGGAGAGGUCAUCCCCGAGCACGAGUUUGCGACGGGACCCGUGUGUCUUGACGACGAGAACGAGUUCCCCCCAGUGAGCAUCGGGGACCCUUAAAAGCGCCCCGUCCGCGUGCCCGGGCGGAGCCCUCACCUGCGCGCGGGCAGAGCCCCUUCCCUGUUGUCUAGUCCCUGACGGGCAGCCGUCGGGGCUUCCUGGGCCUCAGACCCCACAUGCCGGCCCGCCCGACAGUGUGAGGACAAAGGCACCCCAGCCGGCCCCGCCCCGCCGCCCCCGCCCUCGGAGGCCCGCACCCCUCCACGUGGCUUCUUUAGCGCUCUCUCUGCUGCUCACAGGGCAAGAACGCGUGCAUAUAAAUGCUUGUUUUCCUGAGGUUCCUGAGAUGCUCUAGCAGCACCCUGCCGCCCUCGUGCUAAAGAUACUCUUGUGCCGCGGAGAUCAGAAGGGCAAAACGAAGCCAUCGUGACGGGCAGGAGGACCCCCCCCCCCGUCAGGGGUGGAGGAAACACGAAGGUGGACGAGUGGGGGGGCAGGAACCCAGAGGACGUGGCUCCCUGCCCAGCAAGCUCUUCUCAGCCCGGUGGCCGGCGGGUGCGGGAGCCGCUUGUGCCCACGUCCUGCCGUCGAACGUGUGUCCCAGCCAGAGCGUCCAUGCAAAUGAACCAUAUUGGUCUAUAACCCGAAUUUCAUAUUAAAACAGCAUCCUUUAGAAAACGUAUGCUGCGUAAAAAUGUACUCACAGGAGAACCUCUCUGAAUUGUAUUUCUUGGAUAUGACAUAGAGAGGCUAUUUUAGCCAGGCAGAAGAUUUCUGCAGUGCCUGGGAUAAAUCAUUUAUGACCUUUCAGUCCCAUUUAGGACACUAAUAAUAAAACCAUGGCAAUGCACAUUUGAGGCUUUAAAAGUUUAUUUCU